rnacentral:miRNA from 1 species
GUGUGUGUGUGUGUGUGUGUGUGUGUGUGAGAGAGAGAGAGAGAGAGAGCUCUCUCUCUCUCCCUCUCUCUCUCUCUCUCUCUCUCUCACACACACACACGCACCCCG